rnacentral:rRNA from 1 species
CCUACGGGAGGCAGCAGUGGGGAAUAUUGGACAAUGGGCGCAAGCCUGAUCCAGCAAUGCCGCGUGAGUGAUGAAGGCCUUAGGGUCGUAAAGCUCUUUUACCAGGGAUGAUAAUGACAGUACCUGGAGAAUAAGCUCCGGCUAACUCCGUGCCAGCAGCCGCGGUAAUACGGAGGGAGCUAGCGUUGUUCGGAAUUACUGGGCGUAAAGCGUACGUAGGCGGUUAUUCAAGUCAGAGGUGAAAGCCCGGGGCUCAACCCCGGAACGGCCUUUGAAACUAGGUAGCUAGAAUCUUGGAGAGGUCAGUGGAAUUCCGAGUGUAGAGGUGAAAUUCGUAGAUAUUCGGAAGAACACCAGUGGCGAAGGCGACUGACUGGACAAGUAUUGACGCUGAGGUACGAAAGCGUGGGGAGCAAACAGGAUUAGAUACCCUGGUAGUCCACGCCGUAAACGAUGAUAACUAGCUGUCCGGGCACUUGGUGCCUGGGUGGCGCAGCUAACGCAUUAAGUUAUCCGCCUGGGGAGUACGGUCGCAAGAUUAAAACCUUAAGGAAUUGACGG